AUGGGCACCCAGAGCUCUUGCCACACUCUCUGCCAGGGUGGGUGGUGCCCCAGUUGAAAUAAGGCCUUCAAGCCAGUAGUGGCAUGGGGCCUGCGUGGAAGACUCGGGAUCAGCUUCAGCAGACACUGAAAGGGGAAGAGGAGGGGCCAGUACUGAGGACUUCACCCUCAGCACUGCCCCCAAGGAACAGAGGUCUUCCUGGCCCUUGGAAAAUAGGCCCCUAUCUGGUCUCCACCCUGGUGGGCUCCUGGGGCCCUGGGACCAGGCUCAGGGCAACGGCCACGUACACUGAGGUGGUUGAACUGGAUGAUCAUGGAUGAGCCCAAGACCAGAGCUGACCCUUGAAACUGGUCCUUCCAGCAGUCGGAGCCUUCCAGAGAAGGCCAGAGGACACACCGCGUGAUGACGCAGCUGUACAAAGUGUUCCUCCAGGAGCCAGAAAGGAAGCAGGCCUCCAGCUCAGCGUCUCACCUUGAACGGGCUCAGAAGGUACACCUGCUGAAUGAAUACAUGACAAGGAUGAUCGUCCCUGACCCACUGACCCGUUCAGCAGGAUGAGGGGCAGGAAGUGGAAGAGGAGAGGUUGCACUGCACAGAACAGACAGAGGCAUCAGAUGCUCUCAGUUUAGGGCCCCAUACGCAGGUGUGGUGGCAGGUGGGGUCGACAGAGCACUUUUCUCACCUCCAUCUGACUAAGUCUUGCUCAUACUACAAAACAGUGUGAGCAUUCUUACCUGAAGGAAGCCUUCUCUGACAUGCCCCACUCCCAUGUCUGAGAUAGACCUCUGUACCAAUCAGGAUUCUUCUGAUUAAAAGAAUUCAUUUUU